GAUGAACGCUGGCGGCGUGCUUAACACAUGCAAGUCGAACGAAGCAUUUGCGACAGAUUUUUUCGGAAUGAAGUUGCUUAUGACUGAGUGGCGGACGGGUGGGUAACGCGUGGGUAACCUGCCUUGUACUGGGGGAUAGCAGCUGGAAACGGCUGGUAAUACCGCAUAAGCGCACAAUGUUGCAUGACAUGGUGUGAAAAACUCCGGUGGUAUAAGAUGGACCCGCGUCUGAUUAGCUAGUUGGUGAGAUAACAGCCCACCAAGGCGACGAUCAGUAGCCGACCUGAGAGGGUGACCGGCCACAUUGGGACUGAGACACGGCCCAGACUCCUACGGGAGGCAGCAGUGGGGAAUAUUGCACAAUGGAGGAAACUCUGAUGCAGCGACGCCGCGUGAGUGAAGAAGUAAUUCGUUAUGUAAAGCUCUAUCAGCAGGGAAGAUAGUGACGGUACCUGACGAAGAAGCUCCGGCUAAAUACGUG
rnacentral:rRNA from 1 species